rnacentral:rRNA from 1 species
AUACGAAGGGGGCUAGCGUUGUUCGGAAUCACUGGGCGUAAAGCGCACGUAGGUGGACUAAUUAGUUGGGGGUGAAAUCCCGGGGCUCAACCUCGGAACUGCCUUCAAUACUGUUAGUCUUGAGACCGAGAGAGGUGAGUGGAAUUCCUAGUGUAGAGGUGAAAUUCGUAGAUAUUAGGAAGAGCACCAGUGGCGAAGGCGGCUCACUGGCUCGGUACUGACGCUGAGGUGCGAAAGCGUGGGGAGCAAACAGGAUUAGAAACCCUAGUAGUCC